GAGUUUGAUCCUGGCUCAGGACGAACGCUGGCGGCGUGCCUAACACAUGCAAGUCGAGCGGAAGACUUCGGUCUUUAGCGGCGGACGGGUGAGUAACACGUGGGUAACCUGCCUCAAACAGGGGGAUAGCCUUCCGAAAGGAAGAUUAAUACCGCAUAAAAUAUGAAAGUCGCAUGGCUUUAAUAUUAAAGGAGUUAAAUCCGGUUUGAGAUGGACCCGCGGCGCAUUAGCUAGUUGGAGAGGUAACGGCUCACCAAGGCUUCGAUGCGUAGCCGACCUGAGAGGGUGAUCGGCCACAUUGGAACUGAGACAC
rnacentral:rRNA from 1 species